AUGGUUGUGCUCGCCAACAAAGUAGAUGACUUGCCAUCUGCCAUCUAUUACCUUCACAAUCAUCUUAGCUUUGGAACCACUUUGCACAAUUUUAUCUCUUUUUCGUUUCUUGCUCCUCUUUUUGCCUUUACUAUCAUCAUCAAGAAAGACAAUAGCCUCAUCUUCAUUAUCAUCUUUUGCUUGCUCAACAAUGUCAUCUUGCACAGGAAUCUUUUCUGCCCCUCCGUCAUCGACAUCAGGCUUUCAAAACUUGUUGCAAACAAAUUGUUGUUUUAUCAACUCCCCGGUUUUCAUAUCCUUCCUUAA
rnacentral:rRNA from 1 species